rnacentral:rRNA from 1 species
CUGAAAUCAAGUGUGACGACCCGCUGAACUUAA